GUCCAGAGAGCUUCUUAAGAUGACUACAUAGGAUGAGAAGAACUAUUGACUAUUUACAGAGCUAUGCAAGACCACUUGUUGAGGAUUCAGAUGGGAGUUGUGGACAAAGAGCUUCAACAUGGAAGGAGGACAAUCUUAGCUGCUCUUGGUGGGAGAGAUGGUGCUGUCUGAUCUUUCAUUUGAAGAAUGUACAGUGGAAACAAAAUAAAUGCUUACUUGGCCAUAAUUUCUCAGUUGUGAGAACUGACCAGAUGAGGAGAGAAACAGAUGAGGAAGGAAGCUGUGGCCACAAGCGGGAAGAGUCAGCCUUCUCGUGCACGGCGCAUCUGCCACAGGCCAGCUAGCAGGACAGGAGAGUUCAGCGAAGGUAUCUGUAACACUUCUUCUAAGAGAGAAAGCAAAUGCCAAAACUCAAGCCAAAGGAUACUACUGAUCAGUAAACAGGGAACACAUGGUGAGAUAUUUCCCCUUCUAUAAAGCUCUCCAUGAUACGCCAGAAGUCAAAACGCAUUUUUUGCAGCACAAUAAACUGAACUCCACGGCGUUAACAACGUCACGCAGCAACCACCUAUGAGGAAUUACAGUGUCAGGAGCAUCUGUGCUACCACUUCUACAUGAAUGACAACGUGAUGCUGUCAAAUUCAUCUUUUUAAAGAAUAUUCACCAUCUCCU
rnacentral:lncRNA from 1 species